UACGGGGGGGGCAAGCGUUGUUCGGAAUUACUGGGCGUAAAGGGCUCGUAGGCGGCCAACUAAGUCCGACGUGAAAUCCCCAGGCUUAACCUGGGAACUGCGUCGGAUACUGGAUGGCUUGAAUCCGGGAGAGGGAUGCGGAAUUCCAGGUGUAGCGGUGAAAUGCGUAGAUAUCUGGAGGAACACCGGUGGCGAAGGCGGCAUCCUGGACCAACACUGACGCUGAUGAGCGAAAGCCAGGGGAGCAAACGGG
rnacentral:rRNA from 1 species